rnacentral:rRNA from 1 species
GGAUUGCGNAUGGGCGAAGCCUGACGCAGCAACGCCGCGUGAGUGAUGAAGGUCUUCGGAUCGUAAAGCUCUGUCGGCAGGAGAGACGGGGUUGUUGUCUAACAGACAGCAAUUCUGACGGUACCUGCAAAGGAAGCACCGGCUAACUCUGUGCCAGCAGCCGCGGUAAGACAGAGGGUGCAAGCGUUGUUCGGAAUUAUUGGGCGUAAAGCGCGCGUAGGCGGCGAGGUAAGUCGAAUGUGAAAUCCCGUGGCUCAACCAUGGAAGUGCAUUCGAAACUACCUUGCUCGAGUGUCGGAGAGGGUGGUGGAAUUCCCAGUGUAGAGGUGAAAUUCGUAGAUAUUGGGAGGAACACCAGUGGCGAAGGCGACCACCUGGACGACAACUGACGCUGAGGCGCGAGAGCGUGGGGAGCAAACAGGAUUAGAUACCCUGGUAGUCCACGCCGUAAACGAUGGGUACUAGGUGUUGCGGGUAUUGACCCCUGCAGUGCCGACGCUAACGCAAUAAGUACCCCGCCUGGGAAGUACGGCCGCAAGGCUAAAACUCAAAGAAAUUGACGGA